rnacentral:rRNA from 1 species
UGGGGAAUAUUGCACAAUGGAGGGAACUCUGCUGCAGCGACGCCGCGUGAACGAAGAAGGCUUUCGAGUCGUAAAGUUCUUUUAUAUGGGAAGAUAAUGACGGUACCAUAAGAAAAAGCCCCGGCUAACUACGUGCCAGCAGCCGCGGUAAUACGUAGGGGGCUAGCGUUGUCCGGAAUCACUGGGCGUAAAGGGUUCGCAGGCGGAAAUGCAAGUCAGGUGUAAAAGGCAGUAGCUUAACUACUGUAAGCAUUUGAAACUGCAUAUCUUGAGAAGAGUAGAGGUAAGUGGAAUUUUUAGUGUAGCGGUGAAAUGCGUAGAUAUUAAAAAGAAUACCGGUGGCGAAGGCGAAUUACUGGGCUCAUUCUGACGCUGAGGAACGAAAGCGUGGGUAGCAAACAGG